AUGAACGCUGGCGGUAUGCUUUACCCAUGCAAGUCGUACGAGAGUUUUUAACUCAAGUGGCGGACGGGUGAGUAACACGUAAGAAUUUACCUUUAGGAGGGGGAUAACAACUGGAAACGGUUGCUAAUACCCCAUAUGCUUUCGAGUGAAAUGGAUUUUUCCGCCUAAAGAGGAGCUUGCGGCUGAUUAGCUUGUUGGUGAGGUAAUGGCUCACCAAGGCGACGAUCAGUAUCUGGUUUGAGAGGACGAUCAGACACACUGGAACUGAGACACGGUCCAGACUCCUACGGGAGGCAGCAGUGGGGAAUUUUCCGCAAUGGGCGAAAGCCUGACGGAGCAAUACCGCGUGAGGGAUGACGGCCUAUGGGUUGUAAACCUCUUUUUUCAGGGAGGAAUAAAUGACGUGUACCUGAGGAAUAAGCAUCGGCUAACUCCGUGCCAGCAGCCGCGGUAAGACGGAGGAUGCAAGUGUUAUCCGGAAUCACUGGGCGUAAAGCGUCUGUAGGUGGUCAAAUAAGUCAACUGUUAAAUCUUGAGGCUCAACCUCAAAAUCGCAGUCGAAACUAUUAGACUAGAGUAUAGUAGGGGUAAAGGGAAUUUCCAGUGGAGCGGUGAAAUGCGUAGAGAUUGGAAAGAACACCGAUGGCGAAGGCACUUUACUGGGCUAUUACUAACACUCAGAGACGAAAGCUAGGGUAGCAAAUGGGAUUAGAUACCCCAGUAGUCCUAGCCGUAAACAAUGGAUACUAGAUGUUGAACAGAUCGACCCUGUGCAGUAUCAAAGCUAAGCGCGUUAAG
rnacentral:rRNA from 1 species